AUUCCAGCUCCAAUAGCGAAUACUAAUUCUGCUGCAGUUAAAAAGCUCGUAGUUGAACUUCUGGUAGGACAGAUCCGGCCUUUGGAUGAAUGUCCAUUGUAUGCUGUGUGUCUUGUCUGGCCAUCCUUUAUGUCUUUUAGGCGUAAUCUUUCACUGUAAAAAAAUUAGGGUGUUUCAAGCAAAAGUUAUUUGGAAUAUAUUAGUAUGGGAUGAUAAGAUAGGCUCUUGAGUGCUACUUUGUUGGCUUAUACACUUAGAGAAUGAUUAACAGGGACAGUCAGGGGCACUCGUAUUCCGCCGAGAGAGGUGAAAUUCUCAGACCAGCGGAAGACGAACCACUGCGAAAGCAUUUGCCAGGGAUGUUUUCAUCG
rnacentral:rRNA from 1 species